GACGAACGCUGGCGGCGUGCCUAACACAUGCAAGUCGAACGGAGCUGUUCCUUCGGGGACAACUUAGUGGCGAACGGGUGAGUAACGCGUGAGGAACCUGCCUUUCAGUGGGGGACAACAGUUGGAAACGACUGCUAAUACCGCAUAACAUGUACGGAUCGCAUGGUCAGUACAUCAAAGCUUUAUGUGCUGAAAGAUGGCCUCGCGUCUGAUUAGCUAGUUGGUGGGGUAAUAGCCUACCAAGCCGACGAUCUAUAGCUGGUCUGAGAGGACGAACAGCCACAUUGGAACUGAGACACGGUCCAGACUCCUACGGGAGGCAGCAGUGAGGAAUAUUGGGCAAUGGAGGAAACUCUGACCCAGCCAUGCCGCGUGAGUGAAGAAGGUUUUCGAAUUGUAAAGCUCUUUCGGAUGUGAAGAUGAUGACGGUAACAUCUAAAGAAGCCCCGGCAAACUUCGUG
rnacentral:rRNA from 1 species